AAGGCUUUAGCUUAAUUAAAGUAUCUGUUUUGCAUACAGAAGAUGUGGGUUAGAGCCCC
rnacentral:tRNA from 1 species